GGGCCCGACCGGUUUUGACAGCGGGUGGCUAUUUGUGUAAGCAUGUCGUGCGUUGUGAAUAUGGCACGUAAAUCUCAACCCUCAAACAACAACAGGCGAGUCUAACUACGCCCUUGCUGCUUAAGACUAAGUCUUAAUCUAGCGAUGUUCCCCCUGGAGUUUUUCUCUUUGACGCCGGGAUCGGGAGCACCAUAAAUAAAGAGAGUGUGACGUGAAGUUACGGCGCCGAAACACUAUCAGUAACUACGGAAAAGAUUGGUCUGCAGAUUAACCGUUUUUUUCCCGACAAUUAAUAAUCGGCUACACAUGUAGAAAGCGCAUUUAGUGCUUGUUUGGACCAGAGUUCGAUUCUCUGCGGGUCCACGG
rnacentral:tmRNA from 1 species